GAUGAACGCUGGCGGCGUGCCUAAUACAUGCAAGUCGAGCGAACAGACGAGGAGCUUGCUCCUCUGACGUUAGCGGCGGACGGGUGAGUAACACGUGGAUAACCUACCUAUAAGACUGGGAUAACUUCGGGAAACCGGAGCUAAUACCGGAUAAUAUAUUGAACCGCAUGGUUCAAUAGUGAAAGACGGUUUUGCUUUCACUUAUAGAUGGAUCCGCGCCGCAUUAGCUAGUUGGUAAGGUAACGGCUUACCCAGGCAACGAUGCGUAGCCGACCUGAGAGGGUGAUCGGCCACACUGGAACUGAGACACGGUCCAGACUCCUACGGGAGGCAGCAGUAGGGAAUCUUCCGCAAUGGGCGAAAGCUUGACGGAGCAACGCCGCGUGAGUGAUGAAGGUCUUCGGAUCGUAAAACUCUGUUAUUAGGGAAGAACAAAUGUGUAAGUAACUAUGCACGUCUUGACGGUACCUAAUCAGAAAGCCACGGCUAACUACGUG
rnacentral:rRNA from 1 species